UACGUAGGGUGCGAGCGUUGUCCGGAAUUAUUGGGCGUAAAGAGCUCGUAGGCGGUUUGUUGCGUCUAUCGUGAAAACCUGCAGCUUAACUGUGGGCUUGCGGUGGAUACGGGCAGACUUGAGUUCGGUAGGGGAGACUGGAAUUCCCGGUGUAGCGGUGAAAUGCGCAGAUAUCAGGAGGAACACCGGUGGCGAAGGCGGGUCUCUGGGCCGAUACUGACGCUGAGGAGCGAAAGCGUGGGGAGCGAACAGG
rnacentral:rRNA from 1 species